rnacentral:rRNA from 1 species
AUGAACGCUGGCGGCGUGGAUAAGGCAUGCAAGUCGAACGAAACUUUUAUCGUCGAAGAUGAGAUUAUAUCAAGUUGGAGAUAUCAAAAGUUUAGUGGCAGACGAGGUAGUAAUAAGUAGGAACGAACCCGGAAGUCAGGAAUAAUCCAUCGAAAGGUGGACUAAUACUUGAUGGUCUCGCAAGAGUAAAGCGUUAGCGCUUCCGGAUCGGCCUGCUGAGUAUCAGCUAGUUGGUAGGGUAAUGGCCUACCAAGGCAAUGACGCUUAGAGGAGCUGAGAGGCUGACCCUCACCGAUGGUACUGCGACACGGACCAUACACCUACGGGUGGCUGCAGUCGAGAAUCUUCCACAAUGGACGAAAGUCUGAUGGAGCGACGCCGCGUGACUGAUGAAGGGCUUCGGUCCGUAAAGGUCUUUUAUAGGGGAUGAAGUUAUUGACAGUACCUUAUGAAUAAGGGGUUGCCAAACUCGU